rnacentral:rRNA from 1 species
AAGACCUUGCGCUUUUGGAGCGGCCGAUGCCUGAUUAGCUAGUUGGUGAGGUAAUGGCUCACCAAGGCGUCGAUCAGUAGUUGGUCUGAGAGGACGACCAGCCACACUGGGACUGAGACACGGCCCAGACUCCUACGGGAGGCAGCAGUGGGGAAUUUUGGACAAUGGGCGCAAGCCUGAUCCAGCCAUGCCGCGUGAGUGAAGAAGGCCUUCGGGUUGUAAAGCUCUUUCAGUCGAGAAGAAAAAGUUACGACUAAUAAUCGUGAUCCAUGACGGUAUCGACAGAAGAAGCACCGGCUAACUACGUGCCAGCAGCCGCGGUAAUACGUAGGGUGCGAGCGUUAAUCGGAAUUACUGGGCGUAAAGGGUGCGCAGGCGGCUUUGUAAGUCAGAUGUGAAAUCCCCGGGCUUAACCUGGGAACU